CUGAAGGUUUGGUCCUGGCCUCAGUAUUAAUUUUAACCAAAUUUACACAUGCAAGUUUCAGCAUUCCAGUGAGAACGCCCUAAUCAUGCCCUUAUUUGUUUAGGAGCUGGUAUCAGGCAUAUACAGUGUGUAUAACCCAUGACACCUCGCUUAACCACACCCCCAAGGGAAUUCAGCAGUGAUAGACAUUGAACAAUAAGCGCAAGCUUGAAUCAGUUAAAGUUAAAAGAGUUGGUUAAUCUCGUGCCAGCCACCGCGGUUAUACGAGUAACUCACAUUAAUAUUUCACGGCGUAAAGGGUGAUUAAAAGUUUCUAAAAAGUACUAGAGUUAUGACCUUAUAAAGCUGUCAUACGCACCUAUAAAAGAAGUAAUACACUGACGAAAGUAACUUUAACUAACUAGAGCUUUUGACCUCACGACAGUUAAGACACAAACUAGGAUUAGAUACCCUACUAUG
rnacentral:rRNA from 1 species